GAUGAAGAACGUAGCGAAAUGCGAUACGUAAUGUGAAUUGCAGAAUUCAGUGAAUCAUCGAAUCUUUGAACGCACAUUGCGCCCGCCAGUAUUCUGGCGGGCAUGCCUGUUCGAGCGUCAUUACAACCCUCAGGCCCCCGGGCCUGGCGUUGGGGAUCGGCGGAGCCCCCCGUGGGCACACGCCGUCCCCCAAAUGCAGUGGCGGUCCCGCCGCAGCUUCCAUCGCGUAGUAGCUAACACCUCGCGACUGGAGAGCGGCGCGGCCACGCCGUAAAACACCCAACUCUUCUGAAGUUGACCUCGAAUCAGGUAGGAAUACCCGCUGAACUUAAUCAUAUCAAUAAGCGGAGGA
rnacentral:misc_RNA from 1 species